UGCUCAGAAAGAUAUUGGAAGAAAAGGCCAAAUUGACAGCUGCCAUAGAGGAGUACAACACCCUUGUACCAGAUUCAGCAAUACCAUCUGCAGAUGAGAUCCUUUCCGCAGACCUUCAUGCAUAGCCUUGGGAGCUGCAUGGACAAACUGACCUACUCACAAAGAAAAUAGCCUUUGACCGGGUGAUGCUCCUGAGACGGCUGAAGGAGGAGGAGUUAAUUGUCCUAAAGGAAGUCAAGCAGCACUGGGAAAACCUAAAGAGGAAAUCAGAGAAUGUGCAAGACCUUGCUUCACAUGUGGCACUUGACCUAAGCAGGCUGGCAAUUGAAUCAGUCGGAAGCUGGGAGCAGUGGUCUCUUCUCCAUGCUUCAGAGUAGAGUCAGCAGCCUCAGAAGACACCAGGACUCUGUCAAACUGAUAUACAGCAAAGUUAUGGGCCAAGACACCUCCCUCCUAGAAAAUAACUUCAUAGAUGACCUCCUGGAAGAGGACCGAGAUGACAUCUAUGACAGCAUCCACUACAGCUCUGAUGACGAGGAAUCUAUCACAGACUGAAGGUGUUCAUUUUGGUGGGUGCAGUUUGCACUGGGUGAAAAGUGGAUCCAUUUGUUUUGCAUAUGUGCUUUAUCUGCCUUCCUAAGGAAAAAUAGUUUGAACAUUUUAUGGAAAAUAAACUUUUAUGUUUCUUCCUUGUUGACAAUGUGAUCAUGUGGCACAGAUUUGAGAAGGGCGCUCGUCUGUUACUGCUUUUGCCCGGUUACAUGACCAGGCCCGAUGCACCCCUUUAAAUGGCCAAUUUGCAGUUGCAACAUCCACUUUUAGAUUCUUGAAGAAUAUAAUUUAUAAAUACCUCAUGAACAUGGUUCAACUGCCGUACCCCAUCAGGGGCCUGUUGCACAAAAGUAGAAUUAAGACAUCCGGGAUAAAUGACUCAGCUGAGCUCAAUGAAGCC